GGGGAUUUGGCUCAGUGGUAGAGCGCCUGCCUAGGAAGCGCAAGGCCCUGGGUUCGGUCCCCAGCUCCG
rnacentral:tRNA from 1 species